UACGUAGGGGGCAAGCGUUGUCCGGAAUCAUUGGGCGUAAAGAGCGCGUAGGCGGCCCGAUAAGUCCGCUGUGAAAGUCAAGGGCUUAACCCUUGAAUGCCGGUGGAAACUGUCGGGCUAGAGUCCGGAAGAGGCGAGUGGAAUUCCUGGUGUAGCGGUGAAAUGCGCAGAUAUCAGGAGGAACACCAAUAGCGAAGGCAGCUCGCUGGGACGGUAUUGACGCUAAGGCGCGAAAGCGUGGGGAGCAAACAGG
rnacentral:rRNA from 1 species